CCUCACUUUUCCUUUACCCGUGCCCUAGCCGAUUCCCUCUUCUCUCUCGCUCGACGUUGACCACCUCUUCUUCUUCUUCCCCCUUCGUUGAGUUCGUGCCCCCGUCAACGCACCUCUCCGGAGCUUUCUACUCUCCUUCCCCCGAGCCUCCCUCUCACCUCUGCUCGACCCUUUUCUUCCCCAAUGACGAUGCCAAGGGAGUUGAUUGCUGAUGACUAAGCAUCCAUCCUCUUCUCUAUCUCGCCGUCGCAGACUCCUGAUCAUUACCGCUUGGACAUCGUCGAUUUCUACGACCAUUAGUACCAGACGUGGCCGUGAAGGGGAGGAAUCCAGCCCCUCUUCCGAUUUGCCAUUUGUGCCCUAGAUCUGCCUCUCGUCGCUGCACCUCUGCACGAGAGAAAGGUUCCAAGCCCUACAUUCGUUUGGUAGACGCUGAUGCCAUCGAGCCUUAGCCUCGUAUUUCUUCCGAUCUCGGCUUCUCCUCUCCACUACUGCCAAAAUCUAGCCCUGCCGACAGCCAGAUCUGUUCAGUGCUACUUCGGCAGUAGUCAACACCAGAGAGGAAGGAGGUCAAUAGCUGAUUUGGGUUAUGAUAUGGAUGCUAUCAGAUUGUAGAUUCAUAGUAGCUCAGGCCACAGAGCUCCGGCAACAGGCACCUUCAGUUAGCAUUUUUUUGGCAGUCAUUUUCUAGCUGUGAGUCAGCAGGGAAGUCUCCGACUUGGGACUCUGAUUCGAGACAAGCAUCUCAACAUCAGAUUGGUUGAUACGAUCUUCUUUUUAAGAUAUCUAGUAGAGGUAUGUGGAGUCGCUUCGAGUAUCCUGUCUGCCGGUUCCCAGGUCAUGAAGGUUAUAGUUCAGUUUGAGUUCGAGUUCAGCAUUCAUAUAAAAGCAAAAAAAGAAGCAAUUUGAAGGUAGAGCUCCCAUCUCAAGCUAAAGUUUUCAUGCUACAUGUUAAGAAGUUCUUGAGCUCGACCUUCAUCCUUGGUUCAAGCAUUUGAAAAAGAAGUUAAAUACCUCAAGAAAAUCACUAACUUCUUCUUGCUUCAAUUUUCUCUGUGUUGUAAUAUUAUUGUAGAAGGUUUCUCUACUUUAAGAUUUGGUCAGAGAAGCAAGAAAUCUAUAGAGGUGGUAAAAUACUAGAUUAGCCUUGGAUGUAGUCAUCUCGGGGAGGCGAUGAAUUAAGUAAAACAAAUUUUUUAGUGAUUGUCUGUCUUGUUUUGUUGUUA